rnacentral:rRNA from 1 species
UAGUGGCGAACGGGUGAGGAACACGUGAGGAACCUGCCCCGAACUUUGGGAUAACAGUUGGAAACGACUGCUAAUACCGAAUGCCGUUACGAAGUGGCAUCACUUUGUAACGAAAGAAUUUCGGUUCGGGAGGGCCUCGCGGCCUAUCAGCUAGUUGGUGGGGUAAUGGCCUACCAAGGCAUCGACGGGUAGCUGGUCUGAGAGGAUGGUCAGCCACACUGGGACUGAGACACGGCCCAGACUCC